GACGAACGCUGGCGGCGUGCCUAAUACAUGCAAGUAGGACGCAGUUGCGAACGGGUGAGUAACGCGUAGGUAACUACCUAUUAGAGGGGGAUAACUAUUGGAAACGAUAGCUAAUACCGCAUACUAGUAGAUGGACCUGCGUUGUAUUAGCUAGUAGGGAGGGUAAUGGCCUACCUGGGCAACGAUACAUAGCCGACCUGGUGUGGUGAUUGGCCACACUGGGACUGAGCCACGGCCAAGACUCCUACGUGAGGCAUCAGGAGGGAAUCUUCGGCAAUGGGGGGAACCCUACCGAGCAACGCCGCGUGAGUGAAGAAGGUUUUCGGAUCGUAAAGCGCUGUUGUUAAGGAAGCGGUACUGAACCAGAAAGGGACGGCUAACUACGUGCCAGCAGCCGCGGUAAUAC
rnacentral:rRNA from 1 species